AACCAGGACACUCAUGUGCCUAUUAGAAUUUAGAAUGAAUGCAUUCCUUUUCAUUGUAUUGCUAUCACUGGCAGGUUUUGGAAGGCUGAAUCUCUCUGAGUUGGCAUGCAUAAUAUACUGAAUUUUCUAAACAAUCUAUUUAGAUGAAGAAAAUUUCACAAUCUCAGGAUUUCGAGAUUCUACUCUUUUCUGUUUUAACCCCUUGCUUAUUUUUGCCAUAAUAAGUAUCACAAUCAGGCAAUUUUUUGGGUCUAUUAUCAUAUUAUCACUAAAUGUUUUGUUUUCACUUACCUCUAAGAAGAAUGUGUUUUAUGUCAGUGGCCACAUACCUCAUUUUCACUUUUGUGUGCCCAAUCUUUAGCAUGGUACCAAACAAUAGUAGAGUUCAUUAAUUACCUAGGGACUAAAUUAAUGACUUAACGAGUGAAUGAAACAGGCCAGAGCUUGUUACUAUAAUUAAUGUUAAUGUGGUUAUGCAAAGAGAAUACAUUAUGUAAGAGACAACCUGGCAAACAAUCCAAGAACAAAAAAAGCUUGAAAAAUACAACUUGAAAAGAACAUUAACGGUAGGCAAAGUGAGGAUAUGAAUAUGUAUCAAUUAUUGGCAGUUGCACAGGGUCAAACUGCAUUUAUAGGAGCAGUUACUAAGCAAUGAUUUUUGAAGUAAUAUUAAAGCAGAAGAUUCAUUGAUUGUUGAGGUUUAUUGUUGAAAAUAUUACCAAAUAUGGUUCCAAGGGAAAGAAUCAGAGAUAAGUUCCUGGUCGUCUGUAGUAAUACUGCUACUACUAUCAUACUAAAAAGAAGAAAAUUAGGAGAAUUUGCCCUGCAGUGUUUCACUCUAUCUCUAACAAUAACAUUCAAUUUCUCUGUAAAAAAUAAACCAGUUUAAGUGAUUUUUUGUUUCCAAGUAUGAGACUAGCAUCAACAUCCACCCAGUUACUUAAAUACCUGGGAAUCCCUGAAACUCUUUGCUCCCAUAGAAUAUUUAUGUCCAGUUAGAAAUCAAGCUCCAUAAAUUCUAGUUAAUUAAUGUUUCCUGAAUCUGCUCUCACUUUUUCCUUAAUAGUCAUAAUGGCUUGGUCAAGAUUUCAUCAUUUCUUAUUUAGAUUAUUACAAAAAUUUACUAACUGCUCUCUCUUCAUAUGAUCUUGCAACUUAGAAUCCAAUUCCCAAACUGCUUAUGAGAAGACUGCCUAAACUAUUAAACUAGUUAAAUUUUGAUUGCUAAGUAUGGUUUCUUAAUAAAGUUCAAAGUUGUUAACUGAGCCUUUAUAACCUGCCUGUCCCUAUAGUCUCAUCAGUAAUAAUGCUGCUACAUUAUUUCCUUCAUUAUUCUCUUCAGCACUAUUGCUAAUUCCUUGUACUCGAAUAUCUCCACUAUUGCAUACCUAUGAGAAUUUACAUAUAUAAUUUCCUCUAACUAGCAUGCUCUUCUCUUUCUUUGGGUCUAUAUCAGUCUGAUUAAAAUUUGGUGAGUAAGAACCUAAUCUUUGGAGUUAGACCACCUACUUACUAGCUGUGACUCUCUACACUCAACUUUUCCCCUCAGUGAAAUAGUGCAACAAGAGUUAAUAAUGUUGAAGUCUAUAAUAAACUGAAUGCUUGCAUCCUCCCAAAAUUCACAUUAAAAUCCUAAACCCAACGUAAUAGUAUCUUGAGGUGGGCUUUUGAGAGGUAAUCAGGUCAUAAGGGUGAAGCCCACAGAAUGGGAUUAGUACCCUUCUAAGAAAAGGCCACCGAGCCAGCCUGCUUUCCUUCUGCCAUGUGAGCAUACUAUGAGAAGCAGACAACCUGCAUCUCAGAAGAGGGCCCUCAAUAGAAGCAACCAUGCUGGGACCCUAUCUUGGACUUUCAUCCUUUGGAACUAUGAGAAAUAAAUUUUUGUUUGUUUAUAAGCCACCCAUCUAUUAUACCUUAUUUUAGCAGCCCAAUCUAAGACAAAGUUUUUAGAGUGUCUGGCACCUGGGAAGUGUCUGAUGAACAUUAAUUAUUGUUUCAGAUUUUCUACACCUAUAUCAAUUGUGACCCACCUAGAAUUUUGUUAUUUCUCAAUAUUUUAGCAAAAUUUUCAUUGUUUUUCUAUAGGGCACUCCUUCGCCUAUUUUUAAAAUAUUUUAAGAUCGUCAUUAUUCAUCCCUCAGUAAUAAAUUUUCUUUUAUGUGGCUUUUUCUAAUCCCUACAAUGAUAUGCUAUAUAUUUAUCUAACCUUUAAUAUUUUCACUUUUAUAGUACACAUUGUACUUUUUUAAAUAUCUAUAUACUUUUACCAUAAACAUUUUCAUGCUAUGAAAGUUGUUAUUAAUUUGUCCAUAUUCCUACCUAAUUUAUAAAUCACUGGGGCUAAAGGAUAUAUUAUUCAUGGUAGGCAAACAGUUGCAUCAUCACACCUAAAUUUUAGUAAUUAUUAAAAGUCCAACAUGGGUGUUCUUUGGUACACCUUCUGGUACACAUUCACUCUUCUGGAAUGUUCUCGUAGUAGCAAUGACUCAAGGACCUUAGUGCUUAUCUGCUUGUCUCUUCUAGGAUUUGACUUUGUCAGAGUCCUUAACAUUAAACUCGCAGUUGGGGAAAGUACAUUACAUAUGCUCUCCCUCCCUUUUUCUCUCCGCCUUUCCCCUGCUCUCCCCUUCUCACCUUUCCUUCUUUUAAUGAACAAGCCCUGACAGUGAUGUGCAAUAUUUCAAUCUACAUUUUGCUGGCUAGGACUUAGUCAUAUGCUACACACAUCACUCUUGCAUACAACCCUUUCAGACAAAAGGUCUGGAUUAAAGUAGGCAGCAAUUUUUUUAAAUGUAAAGUUGUGAUGACUAAAUGAGACAGCAAUAACAACCAAAUAAACUAAAAUCCCAGCACCUGAGCAGGGGUAGAGGGCUGGAUAUUAAUGAUCUUUUUAUUUCUGACCUGCUCCUGAAAACUCGCUACUCCUUCUAAAAAAGAACUCCCUAGGCUGCCUUUCCAAGCUGCUGUGAGUACAUUUAACUCAGGCUAAAUAUUGAAUUCAUCGUCACACCUGACUGCUAACUAAGAUAGCAGACAAUGGUUUCAGCUCCUGCACUUUCCUGGCAAAACACCUCCAGAUGUUGUCCACAGUAGUGAGACAUAUUAACUGAUGUCAUGGACACAAAACUAUUUAAAUCGAACUGCCUCAGAAAACAAAGACUGAACUGAAUUGUUCAAUCUGGAUAGGGGACCCCAGGGCAGGAGGCCACAUGCUGGAAGUCCACAAUCAGGGCUUCAGUUACCCCAAUUACCUGAUUAGUGAAUAUCAUGUUUGCAGUGUCCUUACAUUGAAAACUCUGUUUCCAGGGCACCAAACAUCUCUGAUGGGAUUGUACUUCUUGUGUAUUAUACUUUCUCAGGAAAUUGCCUUAGCUCUGAAAGAUAUUUAGGUUAGCCUCAACUUACUGGCCAGAAUUGUGCUGUAUGUAGUAAAUGUAUGCCUUAGGCCAGAUUAAAAAAAAAAAGAUAAAAAAUAUUUAUGAUUCUUUUUUUUUUUAAACUUCCUGGUUCUCUAAAGUAGAUCCAGAGGGGCUAUGGAACGUUUUGUUUUUUUCUGUUUUGGCAAUGGUUGGGCCUCAUGGUUAUAGUCAAGAAGGGCCUGAUCAUUCUGCUAGGAAUAAUUUUAAUCAUAACCAUGAUCUUCUGUUGCAUCAGACAAAUUACUGACAGGCCUCCAAAGUAUGACCUAUUUGGUUUCAUGGUAAACUGGCCUAUUUUCUUGCUCAAGUCCCAAAAAGUCAAGGAAUGGAGGUGAAAAGUGUGUCUCCUGGUUACAAAAGUGUGGCUCCUGGUUACAAAAGUGUGGCUCCUGGUCACAAAAGUGUGGCUCCUGGUUACAUCUAUGUUUGAAUUUUCAGACCUAACGUUAGGGGAUUAUAAAGCCUUUACCUGGAAGUUCCUCACAAGCGAAAACUGCCCUCCCCACACCAGAUGUGGUGCACAGCCAGUGCAGUGCAUCCUCUGAAGGAAGCUGCAGUCAAGGAUUCUGUUCCCGCGGGCCAACAAGCUCUUACACAUAUUUCCAUUCUUAGCUCUGGUACCUUCGUUCAUAGUUCUCCUUUUCUGAGGUUCCUUAUGGGAAGGAGGAAGAGGAAACCUUGAAGACUCUUCCCUACUAUCUCAGUACUCAUUAUUUUUCUGCCCCUCUUUUCGCCUUUCCCUGGGCCCCAGGGUCCAUAAAACUACAGCCUCCCCUUGUCUGGGCUACCUCAACAAUGAGGACUACCACAUCUGCGCCAACCCUCCUGAUCCCUGAACCAGUGCACCUGUUCCAUGGGGCAAAAUGGAAAAGGCCCUUUCUCUUAUUUUAGCUUCUUGCUUUUACUAUCAAGGUAAGUGAUCAAAGUCUUAAUAGUUAACCAUCAUUUUGGCUUGUUGUUGCUAUAAGUGACUACUCUGACACCUGGCAGCUCAGCUCUCUCUCCAGCUGAGCUGAGUUCCCAACAGGUAGGUACAUACAUAAGGAACUAAACAAUAAUUUAGGGAUUAAACUACAAUAUCUUGAGCAAUGGCCUACAGAAAUGAAUUUAUAAAGAAAACAGAGUAAAGUUACAUAAUAUAUUAAAGAAAAAAUAUAUAAAUUAUCAAACUAAAUCAUUUAUGAUGAAAAAUUAAUAUUUAUACAAAUACUACAGACAAAAGCUACUGACAAAUACUCUGAACAAGUAAGUCAGGUUGGUGGGGUUCUUGAGGUUCUUAUCUGAACAAGAAUAGGAAAAGGCUGUGAACUGUUGAUUUUCAUCGUUCACCACGGUUUGAACCAAACAGGUAUUAUUUUAUGUGGAAAGGAUGAAAAAGUUCAGGUUUAGCUCAGAGAGGUCUAUAGCUUUGAUCAGAUUCAAAAAGAGGAUUCAAAAUAUAAUUUUUAAGAACUAAUGAUAGAUAUUAAUAAAAUACUUUUCAAAAAUUAAACCUUCAGUUAUAUGUAGGUAUUCAUUUGCUUUGUAAACAAAACUUUUUUUCCGUUUUAUGCAGGUGUUUUCGCAUCUUGAAAACAUGUUUAUGUUUAGUAUGCCCAUCUGCCUGUCCUUCCGUGAUAUUUUUUUCUGGAUACAAAGAUCUAAAUUAAACACUGCCAUUCCUCACUUCACAGAACUUGGAUCAGAAUAUUCACAUGAGAUACAGUAAGUUAUCAGUUUUGAAGUCAGUUUCUCCCUGUAGCCUAUGCUAUAUCUGCAUAUUCUGACAGAGUAAAUACUCCAUAAGUGCAUGCUGUUGAAUAACAUUGAACUGUUCUUGCUGAUAUGACAUUACCUGUCAAGAAAAAUCACAUUUAAGGAGAUCAACACACAUUUCAAAUUCAUUCAUUCAUUAAUUUAAAAGAAAAGUUUUAAAAACAACUUGUUUUGGUCUCCAUCAAUAUUCUGAAAUAUGUAUUUCAUGUGAGUUUUCAGAUUUCUUAGCCAAUGCCCCAGUAAAAAGACUUGCACUACAGUGCCUGCAGCAGUGGAAAAACUGUUUUACAGUAAAUCAUGCAAAGGCUGUUUGCAACUUUAGCUCACAUCCUAUUUUACAGUAAUAGAAACAGUCAAUAAAAUCACAUUAAAAAGCACAUAUUAUUUUCACCAACACUUAAUAAUAUUAAAAAACUACUAUGAAAGGGGAAUGGUAGAAAUUAAACUAUGUAUGAAUACUUUCUAAAUAGUCUAAUUUUCACUUUGUCAAUACUUUUCUUACAGAGUGUAUUUCAGGUUAUCCUUUAGAAUUUUCAUUUUAUGUUGCCUGUCUUUACUGUUGUGAUUUUUUGGCUUGCAUAUUGAAACUUUAAAAGUGCAAGUUUAUAUCUCCUAAAAUAUUUGGGGUUUCUUUGUUAAAUUUUUACAAUUUAAUGCAAAUCAUAUUAAUUGAAUUAUAUCAAUAUAUAAGGUAACAUAUUUCUUUUUACAUAUUGCUUAAUAAUAAUCAUUCUUAUACUAUCGAAUGACAAGCUGAGCAUGAUUGUAGUAACUGGAAAACAAUGAAAAGGACCAGGAUAAAUGAGAUGCUGGUUUUCUCUCGAGUCUGCAUAAUCCAUGCUUGCAGCACCAGAAUGUAAC
rnacentral:lncRNA from 10 species